GGUCCUCAGCGGCGGCUCACCGCAGAGGGGUAAGGGUCAGGGAGGUCCCUCAGGCUGGGGAGACCACCAGCCACGUGGACCCGUUCAGAGAGCUCACUGCGCGGCGUUUUGGCGACAAAGAGGCUGUCGCGCAAAGUUGACAAAGAAGCCGUAGAGCGCCGCAGACUGAGCCUCAUCUCUGGUGAUGCAGUCACAUGUCACACAAGAGGAGGAUGGUCAUUCCAAUCUUCUGCUUCUUGUCUUCUAGAAAACGACUCCCACUCUGAUCCAGCUGUACCUACAUCCGUCUUCAGCCUCAGCUCUGAUCUCUUCUUGGAAUGUUCAGAUCAGCCCUCAGCUGUCCCGUGGUUCCUUCUUAAACCACCAACAGCGUCACUUUCAUUUUCUUCCACUCAAUGUGUUUCUUCAACUGCCCCCUCCACUGCAACAGCCCUCUGGCGGAUUGCUUCUUGGCUGCUAAUGGCUUUGAAUCACUCAAGACCCAAAGAACGCAACAGAGGAGAUGAAGAGAAGAAAAGAGACUGAGGAUGCAGGCAACAGGAGAGUGGGUUUCCGUUAGACGGAGAAGGAGCCACGAUGGCGUUCGGCUGCUGAAGCCUCUUACCUGGACAGACAAACGCCACCACAGUAGUUAUGGCAACGCUUCAAGCCAGUCCCGUGUGCCGUACCGGCCAACACAGAGCGUAUCUACGGCAACCCUGCUUCGCCCACCGUCCUGCCUGCCACGCAUCUCGCAUCAUCACCGCAGAGUGGGACGAAAUCCGAUUGGACAGGAGCUCUAAUCCCGACACAGUGGGGGGAAAAAUAUGAAAUGCUGGGAAAACUAGAGGAUUAAACCAUCUGGCCUCCAUCAGCAGCAGUUGUGCAUGUCUGUCCGCAUGCAUCCAUGUUUUAAUAAACGUGUGGGCAUCAGACAAAGCUGAAGCCCAUUCAUCAUCCUGGAUCAUGUUCAUUCAUGCCCGGAUUUUGCAGCUGUGAAAAAGCAUUUGCAGACUUGUUUUAAUCACUGGAUGUGAUGCUGAGUCAGGCUGAGAGCUGCAGACACCUGACUGAGGAUCAUCCACACAGGCUGAUGUUUCUUCAGAAGAAGACAUCAGCACAUCGGCCAGACCAGUUCUGUGGCUGUUAACUUUGUCCUAUAAGUUUCAAACUCAACUUCGGUUUUACUGUCUUCUGGUGUUUCAUCUGUUUUUAAUCUGUACUGUUUAUAUUUGUCAUGAUUCCUUGUAACUGUUCAGCAUUGAUUAUUAUUGCAAAACUUUGAUUACACACAAAUAUGACCAGUGAGCUGGCAGUUAUACAACACUGUGCAGAAAUGGCUGGAAAUGAGUAAACCCACCCUACUUCCUCCUUCAUCCAUCUAGAACGCUUUAAAAAACUAAGAAAAAAGUGUGAGACUAAGAUACACUGACCUGGUUUAUUGUAAUUGUCAUGUCUGAAAUUGUCAUGUUUUCAUUAUUUCUUCAUGAAAAAUCGUAAUUACCAGAAAAUAAAGCCUUAGAAACAUA